AAAAACUCCGGUGGUGUGAGAUGGAUCCGCGUCUGAUUAGCCAGUUGGCGGGGUAACGGCCCACCAAAGCGACGAUCAGUAGCCGGCCUGAGAGGGUGACCGGCCACAUUGGGACUGAGACACGGCCCAAACUCCUACGGGAGGCAGCAGUGGGGAAUAUUGCACAAUGGGCGAAAGCCUGAUGCAGCGACGCCGCGUGAGUGAAGAAGUAUUUCGGUAUGUAAAGCUCUAUCAGCAGGGAAGAAAAUGACGGUACCUGACUAAGAAGCCCCGGCUAACUACGUGCCAGCAGCCGCGGUAAUACGUAGGGGGCAAGCGUUAUCCGGAUUUACUGGGUGUAAAGGGAGCGUAGACGGCGAAGCAAGUCUGAAGUGAAAACCCAGGGCUCAACCCUGGGACUGCUUUGGAAACUGUUUUGCUAGAGUGUCGGAGAGGUAAGUGGAAUUCCUAGUGUAGCGGUGAAAUGCGUAGAUAUUAGGAGGAACACCAGUGGCGAAGGCGGCUUACUGGACGAUAACUGACGUUGAGGCUCGAAAGCGUGG
rnacentral:rRNA from 1 species